rnacentral:rRNA from 1 species
AAAGAGCUUGCUCUUUCCGGAAUUGAGUGGCAAACGGGUGAGUAACACGUAAACAACCUGCCUUCAGGAUGGGGAUAGCAGCUGGAAACGGCUGAUAAAACCGCAUAAGCGCACAGCAUCGCAUGAUGCAGUGUGAAAAACUCCGGUGGUAUAAGAUGGACCCGCGUUGGAUUAGCUAGUUGGUGAGGUAACGGCCCACCAAGGCGACGAUCCAUAGCCGACCUGAGAGGGUGACCGGCCACAUUGGGACUGAGACACGGCCCAAACUCC